UCAUGCCCUGUUUGUCGUCAGGAGCUACCGCCACAAGGAUCGAGUAGUGGCCACAGUUACCAAAGCUCAAGUUCUCGAAGUAGAAGCAACAAUUACAGUGGAAGAGAGAAUGGCAGGGAAGGAAGACGGAAUCCAUUGUCGUAUUUGUGGCCAUUCCGCUCGUCUAGUUCUAGUUCGAACCAUGAUGAGACAACAGGAAGCAGUUCACCAACUGUGCAUGAAAAUAACCACCAGAUGGGGUAUUCAGGAUGGCCUUUCAACUGAGGAAUUCUGAAAAAUGCUAUGAUUUCUGUGUUCUGUGAUCAUAAUGUUGCGUCCUCGUUACUCGAGCUAAUUGAUUGGAGUGCGUGGUUUGAGACCUUGAAGUCUACUAGUCUUGGAGUCUCUGUUGAAAAGUAAUGGUGUCUUGUGUUUCUUCUGCAACUCUUUUUU
rnacentral:misc_RNA from 1 species